rnacentral:rRNA from 1 species
GCAGUAGCCGCGGGAAAACGGAGGGUGCAAGCGUUAAUCGGAAUUACUGGGCGUAAAGCGCACGCAGGCGGUCUGACAAGUCAGAUGUGAAAUCCCCGGGCUUAACCUGGGAACUGCAUUUGAAACUGUCAGGCUGGAGUCUUGUAGAGGGGGGUGGAAUUCCAGGUGUAGCGGUGAAAUGCGUAGAGAUCUGGAGGAAUACCGGUGGCGAAGGCGGCCCCCUGGACAAAGACUGACGCUCAGGUGCGAAAGCGUGGGGAGCAAACAGGAUUAGAUACCCCUGUAGUCCCUGUCUCUUAUAC